GUGCUCACUGUGGCAGCACAUAUACCAAAAUUGGAACAAUAAAGAUUAGCAUGGCCCCUGUGCAAAAAUGACAUGCAAAUUUAUGAAGCAUUCCAUGUUUUU
ensembl:snRNA U6 U6 spliceosomal RNA